UACGUAGGGUGCGAGCGUUGUCCGGAAUUAUUGGGCGUAAAGGGCUCGUAGGCGGUUUGUCGCGUCGGGAGUGAAAACCAGGUGCUUAACACCUGGCUUGCUUUCGAUACGGGCAGACUAGAGGUAUUCAGGGGAGAACGGAAUUCCUGGUGUAGCGGUGAAAUGCGCAGAUAUCAGGAGGAACACCGGUGGCGAAGGCGGGUCUCUGGGCCGAAAUUGACGCUGAGGAGCGAAAGCGUGGGGAGCAAACAGG
rnacentral:rRNA from 1 species